ensembl:lncRNA
GUCACCUAAUUCUUCAUGAAGAAGUGUAUGUAUUUAUCUAAUAAGGACUUUUAUUAUGCUGAAUGCACUUAAUUUCAGUAGUUUUGCUCAGGUGUCAUCAGCUAAGCUAAUUCCAGCUAGCUACAUUGGAUAUAAAAAGUCUACACACCCCUGUUAAAACUGCAGGUAUUUGUGAUGUGAAAGAAUGACACUAAGACAAAUCGUCAGAACUUUUCCCCUCAAGGUGAAAUUACAGCGUUUAAAAAUUAAGUGAAAAACGUACAAUAACCAGGUUGCAUAAGUGUGCACACCCCGGAACUAAUCCUCUUCAGGUCACCCCACAGAUUUUUAGCUGGAUUCAGGUCUGGGCUCGAGCUAGCUCAUUCAAAAACACUGAGCUUCUUUUGGUUACGUGUGCCUUUGUUGAUUUGGACGUGUGCUUUGGGUCAUUAUCAUGCUGAAAGGUGACAUUCCUUUUCAUCUACAGUUUACUAGCAGACACCUCAAUGUUCUGCACCACAAUCCACUUUAAACAGGGGUGUGUAGACUUUUUUUUAUAUCCACUGUAGUAUUAUAUUAGCUUAAACCUGGAGGCAGUCAGGUUCAAUCGUUUUUACCCUUGUUAUUGUUAAUAUUUAUAUUAAAUACUAAAUCUGUAUAUACCAUCAAUCUCACUGUAUAUGUAAUUCUCGUUCACAUAUCGCUCCUGUGUGUAACGCUGGCUACAGACUGCAGUAAUCCAUCUCUUCUGUAUCUGGCCCUCACUUUAAAUACUCAUGGGAAUGAACAUUCUUCUGUUGGAACAGUAAUCUACCUCCAGUAGCCCUCGCGACACGGUGGUGGUGUUCUAACUCGGUACCAGGUUUGAGGAUUUCAGAAACAUCACUCUGUAGUGUUUACACACAGUGAGGAACAGUUCUGAGGGAUGAGACGCCUGGUUCAGAGAGCUCAGAGGAACAAUCCUGAUUGGUUCACACCAACGUGCUCUUCUGCUGCUGUGCCUCAGGGUUUGACGUGAGGUACGUUUUCUGAUCAUCGUGGUUAUAAGGAGUGAUUAUUUUCAUUACUCAACAACUACAAAUGGUUUUCUUUGUUAAAUAGCAACAUAGUUUUAAU